AAACUUAGGAUAAUGCCCCCUCAAACCGAAG
rnacentral:tRNA from 3 species